AUUGAACGCUGGCGGCAGGCUUAACACAUGCAAGUCGAGCGGGGGAAGGUAGCUUGCUACCGGACCUAGCGGCGGACGGGUGAGUAAUGCUUAGGAAUCUGCCUAUUAGUGGGGUACAACAUCUCGAAAGGGAUGCUAAUACCGCAUACGUCCUACGGGAGAAAGCAGGGGAUCUUCGGACCUUGCGCUAAUAGAUGAGCCUAAGUCGGAUUAGCUAGUUGGUGGGGUAAAGGCCUACCAAGGCGACGAUCUGUAGCGGGUCUGAGAGGAUGAUCCGCCACACUGGGACUGAGACACGGCCAGACUCCUACGUGAGGCAGCAGUGGGGAAUAUUGGGCAAUGGGGGGAACCCUGAUCUAGCCAUGCCGCGUGUGUGAAGAAGGCCUUAUGGUUGUAAAGCACUUUAAGCGAGGAGGAGGCUCUUUUGGUUAAUACCCAAGAUGAGUGGACGUUACUCACAGAAUAAGCACCGGCUAACUCUGUGCCAGCCGCCGCCGUAA
rnacentral:rRNA from 1 species